CUGAGUGUAGCGCAGCCUGGUAGCGCACGUGACUUGGAAUCACGGGGUCGUUGGUUCGAAUCCAACCACUCAGACCA
rnacentral:tRNA from 1 species